UACGUAGGGCGCAAGCGUUAAUCGGAAUUACUGGGCGUAAAGCGUGCGCAGGCGGUUUUGUAAGUCUGUCGUGAAAUCCCCGGGCUUAACCUGGGAAUGGCGAUGGAGACUGCAAGGCUAGAGUUUGGCAGAGGGGGGUAGAAUUCCACGUGUAGCAGUGAAAUGCGUAGAGAUGUGGAGGAACACCGAUGGCGAAGGCAGCCCCCUGGGUCAAAACUGACGCUCAUGCACGAAAGCGUGGGGAGCAAACAGG
rnacentral:rRNA from 1 species